rnacentral:rRNA from 1 species
UUGGGAGUUGCGGGGCUGCCUCCGGGCGCCCAACCUCCCACCCGUGACUACCUAACACUGUUGCUUCGGCGGGGAGCCCUCUCGGGGGCGAGCCGCCGGGGACUACUGAACUUCAUGCCUGAGAGUGAUGCAGUCUGAGUCUGAAUAUAAAAUCAGUCAAAACUUUCAACAAUGGAUCUCUUGGUUCCGGCAUCGAUGAAGAACGCAGCGAACUGCGAUAAGUAAUGUGAAUUGCAGAAUUCAGUGAAUCAUCGAGUCUUUGAACGCACAUUGCGCCCCCUGGCAUUCCGGGGGGCAUGCCUGUCCGAGCGUCAUUGCUGCCCAUCAAGCCCGGCUUGUGUGUUGGGUCGUCGUCCCCCCCGGGGGACGGGCCCGAAAGGCAGCGGCGGCACCGUGUCCGGUCCUCGAGCGUAUGGGGCUUUGUCACCCGCUCGAUUAGGGCCGGCCGGGCGCCAGCCGACGUCUCCAACCAUUUUCUUCAGGUUGACCUCGGAUCAGGUAGGGAUACCCGCUGAACUUAAGCAUAUCAAUAGGGCGGAGGAAA